rnacentral:rRNA from 1 species
UACGGAGUGUGCAAGCGUUUACUCGGAAUCACUGGGCAUAAAGGGCGUGUAGGCGGGCUUUCAAGUCGGUUGUGAAAUCCCUCAGCUCAACUGAGGAACUGCAUCCGAUACUGUUUGUCUUGAGGACGAGAGGGGAGAGUGGAACUUCUGGUGGAGCGGUGAAAUGCGUAGAUAUCAGAAGGAACGCCGGUGGCGAAAGCGACUCUCUGGCUCGUAUCUGACGCUGAAACGGCGAAAGCUUGGGUAGCAAACGGG